CCCAGAGGGAAUGAACAGACCAGGGCACUCAUUCAAUGAUUCACUGGAAGGAGUUUUAUCUGCCAUAAGGAGGGGCGUAUGCAAAUAAAAGUGAGAGUUUCCAGUUUAAAUCUCUGCCCAGGCUGCACCCAGAGAGAAUCCGCAGCCCCCUGUGUCUGUGCAGUUGCCAACUGAUCCACCAGAGACCUUUCCCCUCCCACAUCAGGAAAAUGAGUCUUGGGCUCCAUCUAGUUUUCAUUGCAGCAGCUUUGGGAGGUGUCCGGUCACAAGUCCAGCUGCUGGAGUCCGGAGGGGAUGUGAAAAAGCCCGGAGACUCCCUCAGACUGACCUGUACCACCUCAGGGUUCAGCAUAGACAGCGCCUGGAUGCACUGGCUCCGCCAGGCUCCCGGGCAGGGGCUGCAGUGGGUAUCAGCAAUUAAGGGAGCAACUACACAUUACGGAAGUCCCGUGAAAGGGCGAUUCACCACCUCUACAGACAGCUCCAAGAAGCUGAUCUACCUGCAACUGACCGGCCUGAAGCCCGAGGACACCGGCCGGUAUCACUGUGUCAGAGAAAGACACAGCGAGGCGAAGCUGGGCUGAGCUCAGACUAAAACCUCCCGUUGCGGUCAGCAGGGGAAGUCCCAGCUGGUUUGUGACACUGACAGUCCGGGCGCUGGGCUCUCACAGGAGACAAGUUCCGGAGUGUAUUCCGCUUGAAAUGAUUAAACUUUACUCAGCCUUUUAGCCAAAUCUAGUGCCACACACA